rnacentral:lncRNA from 1 species
CCCCAACACUGACCAGCACAGAGAAGACCAUCAAGCAGUUCUACUCUGACCUGAGUGCCGUCCUGCACUCAGUGCCCACAAAUGACAAACUGAUACUACUGGGAGACUUCAACGCCCGCGUUGGCCAGGACCAUGAAAGAUGGAAAGGAGUGCUCGGCAAACACGGCGUGGGCAAAAUGAACAACAAUGGCCUACUGCUACUCAGCAAAUGCUCAGAGUUCGAACUCACCAUCACGAACACUGUGUUCAGAAUGGCGAACAAAUAUAAAACAACAUGGAUGCACCCAAGAUCAAAACUGGCAUCUCAUUGACUACAUCAUUGUACACCGGCGAGACAUCCAGGAUGUAAAGAUCACCAGAGCCAUGAGAGGAGCUGAAUGCUGGACAGACCACCGAUUGGCUAGAGCUACUCUUCAAAUGCGCAUUGCACCUCGCCAUCCAAAACGCACCCAGACAGUUCGCGCAUUUUACAACAUGAGUCGUCUUAGAGAUCCACCUUAUCUGCAAACAUUCCAGUCCUGCCUGGACAACAAGCUGUCUGCCAAGGGACCACUCACUGGAAGCUCAACCGAAAAAUGGAACCAGUUCAGAGACGCAGUGAAGGAAACAUCAAAGGCAGUCCUAGGCCCAAAACAAUGCAACCACCAGGACUGGUUCGACGAGAACAACACUGCUAUUGAAGACCUAUUGAGCAAAAAGAACAAAGCCUUUAUGGAGUGGCAAAAUAACCCAAACUCUGCUCCUAAAAAGGACAGAUUCAAAUCUCUCCAAGCCACGGCGCAGCGUGAGAUCAGGAAGAUGCAAGACCGAUGGUGGGAAAAAAAGGCAGAAGAAAUCCAGCGGUUUGCUGAUAUGGAAAACUACAAACAAUUUUUCAGUGCCCUCAAGACUGCCUAUGGGCCAUCAAAACCCACCACCACUCCCUUGCUAUCCUCUGACGGUGACACUCUCAUAAAAGAUAAAAAAGGCAUCAGCAACAGGUGGAAAGAACACUUCAGUCAGCUUCUCAACCGACCCUCUUCAGUCGACCAAAGCGCCCUUGACCAGAUCCCCCAAAACCGCUCCAUUGAACAACUUGAUGUCCCUCCUUCAAUAGAGGAAGUCCAAAAAGCCAUCAAACAAAUGAGUGCAGGCAAGGCACCCGGUAAAGAUGGGAUCCCAACCGAGGUGUACAAGGCCUUAAAUGGAAAGGCUCCAGGCAUUCCACAUAAUGCUGACCAGCAUAUGGGAAGAGGAGGAUAUGCCCCCAGAACUCAG